GAUGAACGCUGGCGGCGUGCCUAAUACAUGCAAGUCGAGCGAACAGACGAGGAGCUUGCUCCUCUGACGUUAGCGGCGGACGGGUGAGUAACACGUGGAUAACCUACCUAUAAGACUGGGAUAACUUCGGGAAACCGGAGCUAAUACCGGAUAAUAUAUUGAACCGCAUGGUUCAAUAGUGAAAGACGGUUUUGCUGUCACUUAUAGAUGGAUCCGCGCCGCAUUAGCUAGUUGGUAAGGUAACGGCUUACCAAGGCAACGAUGCGUAGCCGACCUGAGAGGGUGAUCAGCCACACUGGAACUGAGACACGGUCCAGACUCCUACGGGAGGCAGCAGUAGGGAAUCUUCCGCAAUGGGCGAAAGCCUGACGGAGCAACGCCGCGUGAGUGAUGAAGGUCUUCGGAUCGUAAAACUCUGUUAUUAGGGAAGAAAAAAUGUGUAAGUAACUAUGCACGUCUUGACGGUACCUAAUCAGAAAGCAACGGCUAACUACGUG
rnacentral:rRNA from 1 species